rnacentral:rRNA from 1 species
GAUGAACGCUGGCGGCGUGCCUAAUACAUGCAAGUCGAGCGAACAGACGAGGAGCUUGCUCCUCUGACGUUAGCGGCGGACGGGUGAGUAACACGUGGAUAACCUACCUAUAAGACUGGGAUAACUUCGGGAAACCGGAGCUAAUACCGGAUAAUAUAUUGAACCGCAUGGUUCAAUAGUGAAAGACGGUUUUGCCGUCACUUAUAGAUGGAUCCGCGCCGCAUUAGCUAGUUGGUAAGGUAACGGCUUACCAAGGCAACGAUGCGUAGCCGACCUGAGAGGGUGAUCGGCCACACUGGAACUGAGACACGGUCCAGACUCCUACGGGAGGCAGCAGUGGGGAAUCUUCCGCAAUGGGCGAAAGCCUGACGGAGCAACGCCGCGUGAGUGAUGAAGGUCUUCGGAUCGUAAAACUCUGUUAUUAGGGAAGAACAAAUGUGUAAGUAACUAUGCACGUCUUGACGGUACCUAAUCAGAAAGCCACGGCUAACUACGUG